UUCAACAGACAAGAUAACGCAUUAAGGAG
rnacentral:piRNA from 1 species